UCUCCUCAUCUCCCUCUCUCUCUUUGUCGUUGCCCAAAGAGAGUAUGUGUGCUGAUAUGCCGAUCGAAAAUCAGGAGAUCAUGUUCGAGAAAUCAACACACACUUAGCAAGCUGCUACGAUGCUACCUCUAUCUCUGGGUGCUAAUGAUGAUGACAAAGGUGGCUGCCAUGGCUGAAGCCUCUGAGUGAGUGCUUUUCCUGCAGUGUAAAAUUCACGUGGACUUCAUAAGAGCGAAUGCAACAUGUAAUGCUUGGACUGCAUGAAUUUUACCCGGUAUUUAUGCCGAGAAGGUGCAACCCAGAGGUCCACCCCCACUCUCUCUGGUGGUGCUGAAGAUUAAUUACACACUGAAGAUUAAUUGCAGGAGAAACGGACGCAUUGAACAUCUUUGCUGACCAGUGUCCCAGUUACUGAGGCUUUAAAUCCUAUCAAGGUGUCUGAAGGUUGGAUGAAUUGUGACAAAUGUGUUCAAGGUGAUACAGCUAAUGGGAUUACCCAAACUUCGGCGCAGUGCAUUGUUUACCACUCAAGAACUUCCAGAGAGAGAAGCCAAAUGAGUUGAUAGUGGUAUCUACAGGGCUGAGGAAUACAAGGAGGCCUUGAGGAAGUUCGGGUUAGGGUUGAGACGUGAUCAUACCAAGUCAAUUAUUAUGGUUUCUAAAUGCUGUGAAGGGAAGCGUACAUAGAGGGAACUUUUUGGGGUGAGAUAUGCGUGGGGAGCUGGUGUUGACAAGAAUUGAACCAAAGCUUUUGAUUGACUGACGGUUGCAGCAAACACGCAAUUACACUCAACUUAUAAGGGGAUGGAAUAUCUAUAUAUAAUUUCUAUUAUCUGUACACAAGAAGGCUUAUUUCUUUUCCAUUUUUAAUAUGGAUCUUCUUCAUUGGAGCCCCAUA